CACGUAGGGGGCGAGCGUUGUCCGGAUUUAUUGGGCGUAAAGAGCUCGUAGGCGGCUCAGUAAGUCAGGUGUGAAAACUCGAGGCUCAACCUCGAGACGUCGGUUGAAACCGUAUGGCUAGAGUCCGGAAGAGGAGAGUGGAAUUCCCGGUGUAGCGGUGAAAUGCGCAGAUAUCAGGAAGAACACCCGUGGCUAAGGCGGCUCUCUAGUACGUGACUGACGCUGAGACGCGAAAGCGUGGGGAGCGAACAGG
rnacentral:rRNA from 1 species